rnacentral:lncRNA from 1 species
UGGUGGACCUGGCAAUUGGGCUAACUCUCCUCUAUAGCCACUGAGCCCUGAUGAACACAGACAUUGCUGAGGGACUUGUUCUCAGUUUGGGCUCCUGCUCCUUGUCUUUGCACCACUUGGGCUCAUCGGCUUUGCAUGUAACUGUGUUUUUUAAGGACUUCUUCACUGACAGAGAAAAGAGCCAUAACCUGUGGGUGUGGGAGCCUGAAAGGUUGCUUGCUGAGUCAUUUCUGGCAAAUGAAUUCUGAAGUGAGUCAACAGCUUGUUGCCACUUUGUCCUUGUGGUGUUAAAAGUGAUUCAUGCUGGGGUUUAGGUGGAAGCUAAGUUGCUUCCUUGCCAUGCUGACUGUCAACUAGUGGUGACUGUCAGCUAAUUGCUUGAAUUUGCCUUGGAAAACCUUGGAGACCAUUACUGGGGUUCAGCUCCAGUCCACACAGGGUUAUAUAAAACAGGAAUAGAACACCCCUGCCCUGCUCCUACUGCUGCAAUAGCAUGCAUAUCCCCACAUGUGAACUCUCCAUCAUGGACAGUCUUCAAGGUCAAGCCAGACAAUUAUCCGCUGUGAACAUUGAUAGACAACCCCCUGAUAAUUUGGGGGCACAUUUGCUACCAUCAUGAAGCAGAACAGCUACUCUGUCAUGACUUCACAUGAGCAAGAACAUCCUUAACCCAGCAGCUGCCUUAACCCACUCUCCAAACGAUCCUGGAAUAGAUUGAGCAGUUACCCGUGGACUCUGUGGAACAAUCCCACCACCCAUCUUCAGCCAUCGUUUAAUGCUGGUAUCAUGAAGUGGCCUGUGUUGUCCAUAGAGAGACACUGUGUCCUCCAGAAACCAGUAAGCAGGGCCUAACUGGAAGGCUUGGGUUCCCGAUGUCCAAGCACCCAAGCUAAGCUGAGGAGGCCAGUAACAUAAAACUCUCCUCCCUGCCUUUGUUACCAAACCUGUGGAGUUAAUUUGCUCAUUUAAACAGCUGCAGAGCAAGGUGUCCUCCUGAGCAGGCUGUUGGUAGGUUGUGCUGCUAAGCAAGGUGCUCAGGAGGGGGACACGUGUUUUUGAUCAGUGACAGAGAAGUGUGCAUAUUUAUUUGGCAACAGGCAUGCCUCUUCUGCAAGUAUGGCAGGGGUCAGCAGAGCCAGGAGGCCAAAGCUUUUUAAAAAGCAAGGCAGAAUGCCUUUUCCUUUCCCCACUGGUUAACUUCAGCAGUCACCAAAUUUAUCCCCAUGUUCUCACUUGGGCUUUCAGGCCACACAUGUGAGAGUACACAAAUAUGGCUGCCUCAGGAAACAAAAGUUGUGGCCACAUAGGCCCCACCAUGAAAUGAGGUAAAUAUGUUGGAAACAGGAAACUGUGGGCGGUUCUGGAAUAAUUUUUUGCCCGGGACAAUGUUCUUUGUCCUCAGGACAGCUGUGCCAGAGCAUGCACUUGGCUUAAUGUAUGCAGUCUCCAUGCUUUCACACUGAGCUUUCCUUCCCUGGGUUGCUGCAGCCACGCAGCCUCAGCCACUCUUUUCUUCCUGCAGAAAGUCACACGCUCGUUUUUCACUCAACUUUUCCCUGAUUUUCCUCCCACAGGUUAAACUAUUAAGUGAUGUCAUGGAGAUCUUAAUUCCCAAAGUGCUGCCAACCUUCCAGAAAUGCUUCCUUCUGGGAGAUGCUAAGCUUUGAUAACACUUUCGUGAAGAAAUUCCUCCUGGUGUUGCAUUUGCUCGAGGCCAUCUUACAUGUUUCUAGCACCUCUCUUCUCUAAAGCAUAGUCAUCAUUUCAUAGAAUUUUCACCCUUGGAAAAUGAUUUCUCAGUCACUAAUAUUCUUUCUUCCAUCUGUGUUAUACUUGCUUAGAACUUGUUAUCAGUGAAAUCAGAAUUGAGGCAUUUCUAAGCUGCAAAAUGGAUAGCAGCACUGUUUGCAACAGGAUUUUAGGAUUAAGAAUAUAUUGCAAAAGAAAAUAAAAAAAGUGUAUAUAUAAAUAAUAUAAAUAUU